GACGUAGGGCGCGAGCGUUGUCCGGAUUUAUUGGGCGUAAAGAGCUCGUAGGCGGCUUGUUGCGUCAGCUGUGAAAACCCGCAGCUCAACUGUGGGCUUGCAGCUGAUACGGGCAGGCUUGAGUUCGGUAGGGGAGACUGGAAUUCCUGGUGUAGCGGUGAAAUGCGCAGAUAUCAGGAGGAACACCGGUGGCGAAAGCGCUCAUCUGGCCCAAUACUGACGCUGAAGCACGAAAGCUAGGGGAGCAAACGGG
rnacentral:rRNA from 1 species